ACAUUUGUAACUCUUGUAUCAAUUACCACAGUAAGAGUCAAGAUUUUUUUACACAGCCAGACAACAUGCAAAAGUAAAGUCCUCCUUUAAGAUGGCUGAUAUGCUAUAUUUUAUGAUAUAUCAUUAUUAAAAGUGAGUACAAAA